UGAGCUACACCGUCGGAUGAAUCAGACGAAGAACCGUGGUCGGAUUCCGCCAUUGUCGGAAGAAAUAAGAUGAAAGCGCUUGAAAGAGGAACAAGAAUGAAAGAAAUUGAAAGAAGAAGGAGAAUUGUAGAGUGAAAGUGAGGAAGAUGUAGUUAUAAAGAGAAGAAAAAUUGAAAAAAAAAAAAAUUACAAACGGUCAAAUUUUGGCACACAAACCGAGGAGUCAAAGCAGUCAAAGCUGCCAAUUUUGAUUUAAAAUUCGAAUUUCCAUUUUUUUUAAAGAAACACGCGCCUAUAUAUUACCGUUUAAAGGGCUACACGAUAGAACGUGUAGCCCUCGUGUAAACCUCUCCCGCAACGGUUACACGAUAGCUCA
rnacentral:lncRNA from 1 species